AACUCAGUGCUGGUUCUGUGGUACUUCAAAUUCUGGUCUUCUUUCCCAAUCUACCUGCUAUCAUUUAUUUUUCACAGUCCUUAAAUAGCUGCUUCAUGAAUUCUUUCCAGUUUUUAUAACUGAAUUCAGUGGGAAAGACAGGACAGAGUAUGCCCGCUCCAUCCUCAUGCUUCUAUUUUGCUUUGCAAGGAUUCCACCCACCUCUGCUCAACAGGUUAUAAACUAAUGAACUAGGAUUUUACCUUUUACUUUAUGUCAUUCAAAGACAAAGUGUACAAAGGCAAAAAUCACUAUGGGAGAAGUUGAUCUAUCCAGGAAAGCAAUAUAUGUUUGCUUUCUUAACUUUUAUAUUACUUUGCUUCCUCCCUUGGAUCAUGGGCAAGAGAAAUCAAAGAUAGAGCCUGGUUGCUACGCACUUCACAUGCUUGCUGGGAAAAAUGCCUACCCGUGCUUCUCGCGCACACACACAAAAAAACGAGCAUGGGACCUUCAUCCCAGGGUUGUGAUUUAGGAAAAUAGGUUGUUGUCCAUACCGAGAGGUCUUUCACAUAGGCCUAGGGAUUUAACUGCAAUUCACAGAAGACCUGUUCAUGAUCUUGCUUUCUCGUAGCUUUUUGUAAAUAUGCAGUGAACUGCCAAGACCAGGAUGUUCUUCCUCAAGGACAUCCAAGGAGAUAAGAUUUAAUUUGCUCUUCUGUUGGCCUGAUUGGGGUGGGUGAAUUCCAGGGAGCGAUGUAUGUUUUCAGUAAACUCAGCAAGCCAUUGUUGAACCGAAUUUCUGCAGAUAUUGUCAGUGGGAACAUAAUUUGGGUCAAUGAAUCAUAAACUCCAUUUUGGUAAUCUGCCCAAGACAACAGCAAGAAUGUAGCAAUCCCAAUGGGGAAAACGGGAAAGACACACUCAUAACUAAAUAGCAUGGCAUCGGGGCAGGAGGGGAAAGAAUGAGCCACUCUGCCGGAUGGAUUGCAGACUUCUUUUCCACCCAUUAGUCACUGAACAGGUAGGGUCGUUUUUUUCUCCUUAAGUGCUGGGAAUAACCAUGAAGCUGUGAACACAAACCUCACAGCCCCAAACAAACAGGAACAUGACACUUGAGCUAGGUCCCCUAAGACACUCAGAUGACAACCUCUGUUCAGUUUAUCAACCCAUACUCGUCCCUUGGAACAAAUCCACAGAUUUUAAAGGCAUGUCACGUGCCGUUCUUGUUUCGGUAGGUUACAGAAAACAGCCAGUUCAUAUCUUGGCUUUACCUGUCCUUCCUUUUGUGUCACAAAACUCACUUUUAAGUGAAGAAACAGUCUGAACAGUAACACUCCAAGUCCAGGAGUGAAGUCUAGGAGCUGCCACUUGAAUGUCCUUCUGUUUAGCUCAUUAGGGUCCUGGAAGAAGAGAAGCAUUUUCCCUGAGGGCUUAUCCAGAACCAAGGUCAGACAGUUCUUCCUUUACCCUCCACCCCCAGCCUCUUGAUCAGUUAGUCCUCAAGAGCUUUGCGCAAGUGAGAACAGCUGUCCUCUGUUUCAGACAAGGACUGACAAGAAAAGGGUAGUAGUUUCCUUGCAGCAGGAGGGAUGUGGAUUUGAUGUGAGAAAGAAUCGCUAGGAGUUCCUGUCGUGGCUCAGCGGUUAACAAACCUGACUAGCAUCCAUGAGGACGCGGGUUCAAUCCCUGGCCUGGCUCAGUGGGUUAAGGAUCUGGCACUGCUGUGAACUGUGGUGUAGGUCACAGAAGCGGUUCGGAUCCUGUGUUGCUGUGGCUGUGGCGUAGGCUGGCAGCUGCAGCUCUGAUUCAACCCCUUGCCUGGGAACCUCCAUAUGCUGCGGGUGUGGCCCUAAAAAGACAAAAAAGCAAAAAGAAAAGAAAGAAUUGCUAGACUGUGUGUGUUGUGGGAUGGAGGAAUGGGUUCCGGGCGGGGGGGGGAACGCGUGGUCUUCUUUGUAAAGAUAUAAAAACAGCUCUUUUCGUGGGGUAGUUGAAGACAGGCCUUCCGGGAGGCCAAACUACCAGCAUCCUGCCUUUAAGCCUAGCAAUUCUUUUCUUUCUUUUUUUUUUUUUUUUGCUUUUCAGGGCCACAGGUGCCACAUAUGGUGGUAGCUCUUGUUAGCUUUCCUGGACUCCCCAAGUUGGGGGAUCCCCCUCUCAGUGGAGAGUCUCUGGCUUCAGCAGCCAAGGGCCCCACUCAGCAUGUCAUUCUGUCCCCAUCCUCCAUCCACCCUUGGGGAAAGACAGGCUUGGUCAAGGGAGCUCAGGCUUUGCACCUGGCACCCAACAAAGUCUUUUUCCCACCAGGUGCCCCAUUUUGGUUAAAUAAAUGAUAUAUUAAACUCACUUGCAGUGAAAUCCACAACCCUAACCCCCACCUACCCCUCUCUUCCUGUUACACACAAAGGCACAAAGUAAAACCCAGCCUACUGCUGCUGCCACCACCACUGCUUCCAGUUGACAUUUGUUUCACACUUAAUAUUUUUUUCCUUUUUUCCUUUCAUGGCCGCACCUGCAGCAUAUGGAAAUUCCCAGGCUAGGGGUCAUCCUGAAGCUGCAGUUGCCGGCCUGCGCCACAGCCAUAGCAAUAUGGGAGCUGAGCCACAUCUGUGAGUUACACCGCAGCUUGUGGCACCUCUGGAUCCUUAACCCAGUGAGUGAGGCCAGGCAUCAAACCUGCAUCCUCAUAGAGACAACAUUAGGUCCUUAACCUGCUGAGCCACAGUGGGAACUCCUGCACUUACCAACAGUGUAAUCUUCAUAAUAGUGUUCUGAGGUGAGGACAUUAUCCUUACUUUCAAGAUGAGGAGGUUGAGGCGGUCUGGUUCCAAACUGUGUGCUCCUGACCAUCAGAUGACACAGCUUUUCCAGUGAAUGGGUAUGUAGUAGAGCGGAAACAAAGUGGCCUUUGAGGCUGGAAGUGUUCUUGGCUUGGACUCAUUGGAUGAGGGAUCUUAAGCAGGUUCCCGAACUUCUCUGAGCCUCCCUUUUUUAUUAUCUACAAAAGAAGUGUACUUCCUACCACCGAUAAAUAAAAGGAAUAUCCAAGGAUCUCAUGUCUCUCUCUCUUGAGUCAGCUACAGAGAUUUAUUCCUAAACAUCCAGUCUCUGCUUCUGGACCCUUCCUUGGCUCUUAGGCAAGAGGGCCGUUUCGCUUUCUUGUCAUUCUUGGCUCCAGGGGAGCCGCCCUUUACCUUUCCUUCAAGAAAUUUGCCUUUGCAUUUACACCUUGCCUUACUUAGGCACAAGAGGCCCAGCUUUCGGCCUGUCUUGGCUUUCAACACGCUUUCCUCGCUAAGCUCAACCAUUUCUAAGUGAUUUCUAAAUCAUUCUAAUUAAAAGUGAGAGACCAGGAAUUCCCGUUGUGGCGCAGUGGUUAACGAAUCCAACUAGGAACCAUGAGGUUGCAGGUUCGAUCCCUGCCCUUGCUUAGUGGGUUAAGGAUCCAGCAUUGCCGUGAGCUAUGGUGUAGGUGUAGGUCGAAGACGCUGGUCGGAUCUUGCGUUGCUGUGGCUGUGGCGUAGGCCGGUGGCUACAGCUCCGAUUGGACCCCUAGCUUGGGAACCUUCAUAUGCCACAGGAGCAGCCCUAGAAAAGGCAAAAAGACAAAACAAACAAACAAACAAAAAACAAAAAGUUAGAGACCUGUAACUCUCCCUUUCACUUAAAUACUUAGAGGCCAUCAUAGGGUUAUUAAUUGGCCUAAUUUCUUUCUUUCUUUUUCUCUCUUUGGUCCUUCCUUCCUUCCUUCCUUCCUUCCUUUCUUUCUUUCCUUCUUUCUUUCUCUCUCUCCCUCUCUGUCUUUCUUUCUUUGCUCUUCAGGGACUCACCCUUGGCCUAUGGAGGUCCCCAGGCUAGGGGUCAAAUUAGAGCUACAUCUGCUGACCUAUGCCACAACCACAGCAACGAGGGAUCCGAGCCACGUCCACGACCUACACCACAGCUCACAGUAAUGCUGGAUCCUUAACGCACUGAGCGAGGCCAGGGAUCAAACCCUCAACCUCAUGCUUCCUAGGUGGAUUCAUUUCUGCUGCCCACGACGGGAACUGCAGUUGGCCUAAUUUCAAUAUCGUUGUGUCUCAGGGACUAGGGAGACUUGAGGAGAGGCAAGGGGGCAUCGGCUGGUUGGUGGAGAAGUCAGAACACAAAACAUCUAGGAAUCACGUUCACUGCCUUAUAUGUAUGCUAUUGACAGUGCUCCCAGUCACAACAGCAACAUCAAAGAUCAGUGACCACCGUAGCAAACAUAAUAAUGAAAAGUUUGAAAUAUUGCAAGAAAUACCAAAAUGUGAUACAGAAACACAAAGUGAGCAAAUGCUGUUGGAAAAACGGUUACCAAUAGACUCGCUCAACUAAGAGUUGCCACAAAUCUUAAAUUUGUUUGUUUUUUUUUUAAAGAAAGAAAAAAUUCAAUAUCUGCAAAAUGCAAUAAAACCAGGUGUGCCUGCCCUGAAGCAGUACAGUCGGCUGUCUCUCCAUGUGCCCUCCGAUGGUUAGCUUUCAUGUGGCAUGUGCACAGCAAAGGUGGGCUAUUGCUCUUGUACGCAGCUGUGCCGGAUCGGAUGCCCAACCGUGCCCCCUAGAGACAGUUCCCACUGGAGGGUGUGAGUGGGUGUGGCCAACGGUUCCGCCACCCCAGGUGUUCAGGUUCCUGGCAGUAGUGCCUGGAAGGUGCUCAAAAAGGUUUAAUGAACAAAGAGCAGUUGUUCCUUGCUUUUGGCUACAGCCUCUGCUCAUGUAUUGAGUCUGCUCGAUGCCAAGACCAACUCAGUUUUGCAAAUGAAGAACAUUAUAUUGGGAAUCUAGUAUCUGUCAGGCUCAGUGCCUACCAGGCACCAUCUCAUUUAGUCCCCAAAAGCCAGUGAGGAAGGUGCUAUGUUGGCCAUUUUAUGGAUGCAGAGGAGCCCCAAGUUUAGAGAGAUCAUGAACUGCUCAAUGUGAAAAGAAGUCCCUGGAAGAGACCACACUCAACCUUUAUCAGCGUGAGAGAGUUGUGAAGGCUUUUCUCGUCUCCCUUCCUCCUGGUAAAAGGCUGUUUUGUUUUGUUUUGUUUUUGUUUUUGUUUUGGCUGCACUCUCAGCAUGCAGAAGUUCCCGGGCAAGGGAUAGAAGCCGCGGCAGUGACCCCGAGCUGCAAUAGUGACAAUGCCCGAUCCUUAACCUGCUGAGCCAACAGGGAACUCUUAAAAACUGUUCUCAUCCAGGAGUUCCCGUCGUGGCUCAGUGGUUAACAAAUCCAACUAGGAACUAUGAGGUCGAGGGUUCGAUCCCUGUCCUUGCUCAGUGGGUUAAGGAUCCGGUGUUGCCAUGAGCUGUGGUGUAGGUUGCAGACGUGGCUCGGAUUCUGUGUUGCUAUCUCUGGCGUAGGCCGGUGGCUACAGCUCCGAUUUGACCCCUAGCCUGGGAACCUCCAUAUGCUGCAGGAGCAGCCUAAGAAAUGGCAAAAAACAAAAACAAAACAACAACAACAACAAAAAAACUGUUCUCAUCCAGACAAGCCUAGUCACUGUGACUCUAUCCAGGGCUCUCAUCACCCAGGCCCCUUCAAAACCCUUGUAGGUGGCUCGGCUCUCUCACCAGCACAAUGUCUCUGGACUCAGCCCUAUGGACAGGGGCACAGGAACCUCCAGUUCCUCCUCUUCUUCCUUUGGUGCCCUGGUGGCCCUGCCUUCCCCCUACCUGGUGGUUCUGAGGAGGUGUUGCCUGAGUGAGUUGGGUGGUAACAGGCAGGACCCACCUUACUGCUUUAUUUCUCGCCUGUACCCCUGCGGGCCUCGGCUCUUUCCCAUGCCUCAGACACCAGCGGCUGGUUCAUCUUUUCAUGGAGCUAAACUUUUUAAUUAUGCCUCAAUUUAGUGACCAUGGAAGGUGGGUUUUUUUAUGAUGCCUCCCUGUCCCAAGCAUUUCAUGUCCUUGCAUUUGCUGUCACAGCAAACACCCCUGCCCCCCAGCUUGGGCACUAUGACUGUCUGGGCCCUGGUGGCAUGCCCACCCCUGUGGAUUGGGUGAAGGACACUUCCCUGGAAGAUAAGUAUAGUU
rnacentral:lncRNA from 1 species